rnacentral:antisense_RNA from 1 species
AGAAAAGUCAACACAGCUCAGAGAUUGACAGUGACUGCUCUGCUUUUGUGAUACCAGCGACAGAACUCUGCAAACAUCUCUGCUUCGCAGCUGGCAUCCUGUUGGAUUUUUCCAGUAGAGGGAAGCUUCCAUGCUGCAGGAAGAAGGGGCGUGCUCCUUCCCGUUCCUGUCAGCACUGCUGCAGCAGUUUGCUCUCACAGCUGCAUGUGAUCCCAGUUGCCAUUUCUGACCUGCUCAGAACCAGCUUCAUGAUGGGCUCAAAGACCCAGGACCAGGUGCUCUUUUGACUUCUCUGACUUCAGUCCUUCUGGAGUCAGAUCACCCAGCUUCUCUGAUGAGUGACUGGUCAUUUUUAAAGCAUGCCUGCAGCAGUCUUCAAGAGGUUUCUGCCUGGGCAUCACGAUCAGCAUACAUUUGCUCAUACACAUACCAGCUCUGGCAUGUACACGUGGCCACGGUACCCUUCGUACAACACGGGAAGAGAACAACAGGACGCCCAAGAGGCAUCUGGACAGCACACAGCA